rnacentral:lncRNA from 1 species
CACGAGUCAGGACGUGUCAGGACAUGGCCAUGGCACGAGUCAGGACGUGUCAGGACAUGGCCAUGGCACGAGUCAGGACGUGUCAGGACAUGGCAGGACAUGGCCAUGGCACGAGUCAGGACGUGUCAGGACAUAGCAGGGCAUGGCAGGACAUGGCCAUGGCACGAGUCAGGACGUGUCAGGACAUGGCAGGACAUGGCCAUGGCACGUGUCAGGACGUCGCAGGACGUGGCCAUUGCACGAGUCAGGCGUGUCAGGACAUGGCAGGACAUGGCCAUAGCACGUGUCAGGACGUGUCAGGACGUCGCAAGACGUGGCCAUGGCACGAGUCAGGACGUGUCAGGACGUGUCAGGACGUGUCAGGACGUGUCAGGACAUGGCAGGACAUGGCCAUGGCACGAGUCAGGACGUGUCAGGACAUGGCAGGACAUGGCACGACAAGGCCAUGGCACGUGUCAGGACCUGUCAGGACGUG